UUUCGGUACCAACAACAGCCGUGCUUAAUUUGUCCAUUUGUAAUAUUGGUAAUUGCAGCCGAUUACACACGAGUAAAAAAUGACAACGGUGGUGCAUGAUUCACACACGGUCGUUGUCAAUAUGACACCGGUCGUGUAUGAAUUAUGCACCACCACCUGCAUAAUGAUGCACCACCGUUGUUACUUUGUACACCGACGUGCAUGAAUCGUACACGAUCGUUGCCAUUUUAGCAACUACCGUGUAUGAAUCAUGCACCACCGUUGUCAUUUUUUUUACUCGUGUGCAAUCGGCUGCAUAUUUACCAUUUUUUCCGUGUUAUUGAAAGAGAAAGGACGCAUUGUGCAAAAAAUUUAUUGAAAAUGAAUAAUAAUUCGCAAGAUCCUCAAAAUAUCAUUGGUGAGUUGUUAGAAAUCGAUGGCAAUAUUGUUGUGGUUCGCGAUACAAACCAUUGCAGCAGUCAAGAUGCGGAAAACAAUGAGGACGAUUAUAUGUUAAGGGAGUUCUUAAAAGGAAUAAAUAUGGAGUCGCUUUUUGAACAAUUAAAAGCAUCACAUGUAACAUUUCGCAGCUUGCAGUACUUGAAAAAAGAAGAUUUAAAGGAAGCAGUGCCACCAUUGGGACUGCGUGUUGAAUUCAGAGAAAAGCUCUUUGCUUGGAAAAAACGAAAGCUCGGGAUUGAUGACGAAACUAUGUCAGUUCCAUCUAAAAUAGGUGAAUGGUGGAAACGCAACGAGACACCUGCAAGUACUCCUGGUACUCCCGACACUACAGGUUCGAACUGCUCAAAAGCCAAAGGAAUUUUGUCAGAGGAUCUAACGGAAUUGUUAACACAUACCUCGAAGGGGAAACUAGCGCUUGAAUGUAGUAGCGUUAAUAAGAAAUUAAGUGACGAGCAAAGAGAUGAUAUAAUUAAUAUAAUUAUUGAAGAUAUUUUAACCAACAAUGUUACUCUUUACACUCAAGACUAUAUGCGCAUAUUGGAUGAAAUUUGUUCCGUUUUUCCUCUUGAAAACGAAAUGAGGGUAAGAUUAACAAUAUAAACAACGUAUCUGAUUAUGUAGUUUCUUAACUUAUAAUAUGUCUUUAUUUUUAGGAUUAUUAUUACAUUUCAAGAAAAGGAAAGAACAACGCAAGCGGAAAACUUUAUGCCAAGUAUAGAAACAAGAAGUCCAAAAGAAUAAAGCUUUUGAUUUCCGAGCCUAGCACAAGCAAAGCAGCAACUCACACAUCUCCUAAUUUUUGUAACAAAGAUGUUCCCGAAAUUGAUGAAUCAGUUGAAAAUUCAUUGAAAGCUUCCUUACUAAGAGAAUGUAAUGAUUGGGGAUCGAUCUGCGAAAAAUGGAAAAGAUCUUUUAACAUACGGCAAAGAGAUAUAAAAAAUUUAAGUAGCCAUACAUUUCUCCUUGAAUGGACGAAGUUGUCCGAUGCAAGAGCUUCAGAAUUGGUCAACAUUGAUUUCGAUAUUAUGUAUCCACAGAAAGGCAAUCUUCUACUUUCUAAAUGGGACCAAUUUAAGAAAAAAAUUUACAAUUAUUAUGGGAAAAAUAUUCAUAACGAACAUUGCAAACAACUCUUCGCAAAUGUUUUGACGGCAAGCAGCAUAGGUAAAUUUUAAUUCCUGAUUUAUCAUAAACAUUAAAAGUAAUAUUUAUUUUAUAUUUCGGUUGCAGAUGCUCAAGAUUAUAUAUACGCAAUACUGUUGAAUUCAGUUUUACCAUCACCUGCUAGGUUUAAAUGUGGAAACGGUAAAUUACGAAAAAAAGUAACAAUAGCUGAUUCGCAGGAAAGUUUCGUACUGCGACUACCGACAAUUAACGAUUAUAAAAGGCAAAUUGAUACAGUCACUGAAAAGUAUUACAAUGCUGGAUUAACUAUACAGCCAUUUAUAAUUGUGGAGGGUUUGUCCGAUUUCAAUAUAAAAGGUUUUUAUGUUUUUUUUAACCACAAUUUGUUAAAAUUUCAAUCGUUCCUCGAAUGUUUAGAUACAUGUUUUAAAAUUUUUCAUGCACUUUCUUUAAAAUAUCCAAAUGCCUGCCAAAUUCCAUGGAUUUUUAUCCAAAAAUAUUUUUAUGAAAUUAAUACUGUAUAUGAUAUAAAAUCAGUUAAUUUGACUUCACUUAUUAAUUUCUGCAACAAUAAUUAAAGUACAAUUCAAAAUGUAUAUUUGCUUUCGUUGCCGUAAGCAUUUUGAUAAGGCAAAUCUUUUAAUAGCUCAUUUGAAAACAGACCAUUUAAUGUCCACUAAAUUUUUAAAAGUACAAUGCGUUCAGGACAACUGUAAGCAAACAUUUACAAAAUUUACGUCAUUCAGAAUUCAUUUAGAAAAACUUCACAAGAAUCACACAAAAGCUCCACCAAUGGUUAAAGCCAUUAAUGUGCCAGUUGAAAUGUCAUCAUCAAAAGAAAAUGAUUAUACAAACAGUGAAACUGUUAUUAACAACAAUACAAUAGAAAAGGAUUUAAAUGUUUUGAAAAAGAAAACCUUAUAUCUGUCUUUACAAUUACAUGGUCAAAGCUAUAUGCCUAGAAAUCAUGUUAUAGAAAUACAACAUUCUGUUUCAAUUCUGCUUUCAUCCAUUUCAUGUACAAUUGAAAAAUAUAUAACUGAUCAUCCAAAUUAUGAAGACUUAAGGUACUUACUAAACUUUUGUAAAAAUCCUUUCGAAGAAACUAGAACGGAAUAUAGACUUUUAAAAAUUUUAAAAGAACUAAACUUUUAUGAUGAUCCAAAGGUUUAUGUAAUUAGCAAUCAAGUCUCGGAAAUUGUUAUCAGCGGAAAUCCCAGUUUAGGUCCAAAGUUAUCCAAUAUUUAUAUAAUGCCACUGAAAUUCAUGAUAAGUGCCCUUUUUAAAAUUCCAAAUCUCUUAGAUUUGACAUUA